rnacentral:rRNA from 1 species
ACGGACGCCGCCCGGUGGAUGGCUCGGCUCGGGAGCCGACGAAGGGCGUGGCAAGCUGCGAUAAGCCCCGGGUAGGCGCAUGCAGCCGUAGAUCCGGGGAUGCCCGAAUGGGACCUCCCGCCCACGCUCUGCGUGGGCGCUCCCAUAACCCUCUGGGGAGCUCUUCGGAGCUCCUCGGAGGGUGAGGGAGCGGGAACCCCCCGAACGGAAGCAUCCAAGUAGGGGGAGGAAAAGAAACCAAUUGGGAUCCCCUGAGUAGGGGCGACCGAAAGGGGGAGAGCCCAAACCGAACCCGGUGGGGAAACCCAUCGGGGAUGUGGGGUUGCUGGGGGUCGGCCGCUCCCUCCCCGGCGAAGCCGAAGUGGUCUGGAAAGUCCCGCCGUAGAGGGUGAUAGCCCCGUAGGCGUAAGCCGGGUGGGAAUGGGCCGACUGCCAGAGUACCGCGCCUUGGUUUUGGCGUGGGAAUCUGGGGGGCACUAACCUCCAAGGCUAAAUACUACCCGAGACCGAUAGCGCACUAGUACGGUGACGGAAAGCUGAAAAGAACCCCGGGAGGGGUGUGAAAAGAGCCUGAAACCGGGCGGCUACAUCCGUGCGCGGCCCGAAAGGGUAGAACCCUCCCGAAGGAAACCCCGGCGACGGGGGAGUACGAGGGAGGGGGACCAGGGUCGCGCACUCCGUCUUGAAACACGGGCCGGGGAGUUCACGGCCGUGGCGAGCUUAAGGGCUGAAAGCCCGAAGGCGUAGGGAAACCGACAUGCCCGCAGCCUCCCGCACGGGAGGUGAGGGGCGGGGUCUGAAAGGGCCCGGAGUCACGGCCGUGAGACCCGAAACCGGGCGAUCUAGCCCUGGGCAGGGCGAAGCCGGGCGAAAGCCCGGUGGAGGCCCGAAGGGGUGCUGACGUGCAAUUCGCUCCCAUGACCUGGGGCUAGGGGCAAAAGGCCAAUCUAGCCCGGUGAUAGCUGGUUCCCCCCGAAGUGGGUCGCAGCCCAGCCCCGGGCGAGGUUGCCGGCGGGGUAGAGCACCGAUUGGGCGGUUUGGGGCUUCGGCCUCGCCGCCCUUUCGAACUCCGAACCCGUCGGCGCCGUAGACCCCGGGAGACGGGCCUCCGGGGGAAAGCUCCGGAGCCGAGAGGGGAACAACCCGGACCGCGGUUAAGGCCCCCAAGUGCCGGCUAAGUGUCAAACGGAAGGGCGUCCCGAGCCUUAGACAGCGGGGAGGUAGGCUUAGAAGCAGCCAUCCUUUAAAGAGUGCGUAACAGCUCACCCGCCGAGGCUCGGGGCCCCGAAAAUGGACGGGGCUAAGCCGGCCGCCGAUACCGCGGGGUUGAGCCGUAAAGGCUCAAUCCGGUAGGGGGGCGUCGGGGUUGGGCAGAAGCCGGGCCGUGAGGUCCGGUGGACCGGCCCCGAUUGCAGAUCCCGGCGGUAGUAACAGCAAAGUCGGGUGAGAAUCCCGACCGCCGAAGGGGCCAGGGUUUCCCAGCAAUGCGUCGUCAGCUGGGAGUUAGUCGGUCCUAAGGCCAGGGCCAACCUACCUGGCCGAAAGGGAAACAGGUUAAUAUUCCUGUACCGCGGGGGUACGCUUUCGCGGCGACGCAAGCCCGAAGCGUGACGCCUCGGGGUAGGCCGAGCGGGGCCGCCGCCCCGUUUAACCGUAUAAGCCUGGGGAGUGCCGUAAUGGCGAGAACCAGGCGAAAGCGGGAAUAGCCGCCCGUAUAGGGCGGUUCGGCCGAUCCCUGGGGCCAGUGAAAAGCGCUUCGGGAAGGAUCCCCCGCGACCGUACCGAGAACCGACACAGGUGCCCCUGGGUGAGAAGCCUAAGGCGUGUCGGGGACACUCCGGGUGAGGGAACUCGGCAAAUUGGCCCCGUACCUUCGGAAGAAGGGGUGCCUGCGGUCUUGGCCUCAAGGCUGGGACCGCAGGUCGCAGUGACAAGGGGGUCCCGGCUGUUUAAUAAAAACAUAGGGAGCUGCAAGCCCGAAAGGGUGUGUACAGCUCCUGAAUCCUGGCCAGUGCCGGUCCCUGAACCCCGGGUUCAACCGGGAUAAGGGCCGGUAAACGCCGGGAGUAACUCUGACUCUCUUAAGGUAGCCAAAUGCCUUGUCGGGUAAGUUCCGACGUGCAUGAACGGAUCCACGAGGGCCCCACUGUCCCCACCCGGAGCCCGGUGAACCCACAUCCUGGCCGAACAGUCCAGGAUCCCCCGGCGGGAAGAGAAGACCCCGUGGAGCUUUACUGCAGCCUGUCGCUGGGGUGUGGCUGCGGGUGCAGAGCGUAGGUGGGAGCCGGUGAAGGAGCCUCUCCGGGGGCUCUGGAGGCGCCGAUGGAACACCACCCACCCGUGGCUACGCCCCUAACCGGGGGCCGAACCCCCGGGACAACGGCAGGUGGGCAGUUUGGCUGGGGCGGCACCCCCCUGAAAAGAUAUCAGGGGGGCCCAAAGGUCGGCUCAGGCGGGACAGAAACCCGCCGUGGAGUGCAAGGGCAAAAGCCGGCCUGACUGGACCCUCCACAGUAAGGGGUCCAGGGGCGAAAGCCGGGCCUAGCGAGCUGUCGUGCCCCAUUAGUGGGGGCCGGCAGUGACAGAAAAGUUACCCCGGGGGUAACAGGCUCGUCGCGGGCGAGAGUCCACAUCGACCCCGCGGCUUGGUACCUCGAUGUCGGCUCUCCCCAUCCUGGCCUCGCACAAGGGGCCAAGGGUGGGGCUGCUCGCCCAUUAAAGGGGAACGUGAGCUGGGUUUAGACCGUCGCGAGACAGGUCGGACUCUAUCUGCCGGGGGUGCUGGCCGCCUGAGGGGAAGGGGUCCCCAGUACGAGAGGAACGGGACCCCGGGGCCUCUAGUCUACCGGUUGUCCGGCAGGGCAUCGCCGGGCAGCCACGCCCCAAGGGAUAAGGGCUGAAAGCAUCUAAGCCCGAAGCCCGCCCCAAAAAUAGGCGGCCAUUCCC